UCCCUGCAGCUCCUCUCAGUGCGCAGACUCUCUGCUGUCAGCAGCACCAGAGGACCAGAGAACCGGAGCACCGGAGCACCGGGAGGACUGUGACAGUAUGGCGGCGGGGUGCAGCUGGAAGGAUGCUUCAGUCUCCCGUCAUGAGUCUACCACCGGCAGCACGUAACCGGACCACUAACAGAGGAUUUACUGAGCCAGACUCCGCACCGUGAGCUCAGCAUGGCCCGGCUGGCGGACUACUACCUGGUGGUCGGAUACGACAUCGACAAGCGAGUGGAGGGUGAGGGUCAAGGUCGCAUUCUCCAGCGGUUUCCUGAGAAAGACUGGGAGGACAGCCCGUUCCCACAAGGCAUAGAGCUGUUCUGUCAGCCCAGCGGUUGGCAGCUGGUUCCUGAGCGGCAACCUGCCUCCUUCUUCGUAGCGGUUUUGACUGACAUCAACUCGGAGCGUCACUACUGUGCCUGCUUCACCUUCUGGGAGGGCCUGGACAACCCACAUCUGCAGAAGGCUGAGGCCAGCGAGGCGGACGAGGCGGAUGAGGACCUCGCCCUCGUCCAACCAGCUCAGGUCUUCGCCCCCAAGAGCCUGGUGCUGGUGUCCCGACUGGACUACACCGAGGUGUUCAGGAACUGUCUGGGUCUGAUCUACACCGUCCAUGUAGACGGCCUGACCGUCCCCUUGGAAACGGUGGUCGGAAAUCUCCUCACAUGUGUCAUCCCCAUCGCUGGAGGCUCCCAGAGGACUAUAACGUUAGGUGCUGGGGACCGGCAAGUUAUCCAGACUCCCAUCGAUGACGCGCUCCCCGUCAGCGGCAGCACCGUGGCCCAGCUCUUCAGACAGCUUGGUAUAGUCAACGUGUUGUAUCUGUUCUGCGCCGCCCUGACGGAACACAAGAUCCUGUUCCUGUCCAGCAGCUACCAGAGACUAACGGACGCCUGCCGGGGAUUACUGGCCAUCAUGUUCCCCCUCAAAUACAGCUUCACCUACGUUCCCAUCCUGCCGGGGAAACUCCUAGAGGUCCUGAGCACCCCCACCCCCUUCAUCAUCGGCGUCAAUUCAUUCUUUCGUUCGGAGACGCAAGAAUUGUUGGACGUGAUCAUCGCUGACCUGGACGGCGGCACGGUGACCAUCCCCGAGUGUGUCCACAUCUCCCUGCUGCCUGAGCCGCUCCUCCAGCAGAUCCAGACCGCGCUCUCCAUGGUUUUGGAUCCAGAGCUGGAGAUGGCUGAUCGGGCCUUUCCCCCGCUCUCCACCCAACCCGCCGCACUCAAGAUCCAGGAUAAGGAGAUCCGGGGAAUCUUCCUGUGGCUGUUCGCUCGGCUCUUCUAUGGCUAUCGCUGGUGUUUACACAUCAUCCGCAUUCACCCAGAACCAGUGAUCCGCUUCCACAAGGCUGCCUUCCUCGGUCAGAGGUCGCUGACGGAGGAAGACUUCCUCAUGAAGGUGUUGGACGGCAUGGCGUUCGCAGGCUUCGUGUCAGAGAGGGGGCCUCCUUACAGAGCCACCGACCUGUUUGAUGACCUGGUGGCCAAUCACGGGGAGCGGAUACGACAAGAGGAGACCUGUCCACACAAAGUCAUGAACCACGUCAAGGAGCUGGCUGAGCAGCUCUUCAAAAACGAGAAUCCUUACCCCGCCGUGGCGAUGCACAAAGUCCAGCGGCCGUCGGAGAACAGCCAGAACAGUGCACAGAAUCAGACGCCGUUCCCCGCGCUGGACGACGUGGCGGUGCAGCUCUUCAUCGACCACGCUGCCGCCAAGCUCAAAACGGCACCUCCCGUGGUCAAGGCGGAGGUCAAGCGCAUGGUGCCAUCUGGGCCCCCACUGGGAGACACCGUGGACAGGAACGGCCACGUGAUGGCCAACAGCGCUCGCAGGCUGGAGGUGGUCAGGAACUGCAUCACAUACAUCUUUGAGAACAAGAUGCUGGAGGCCAAGAAGUUAAUGCCGGCUGUACUGCGGGCGUUGAAGGGUCGGGCAGCCCGGAUUUGUUUGACCCAGGAGCUCAAUCAGCACGUCCUCCAGAACCGAGCGGUGCUGGAUGACCAGCAGUUUGACUACAUUGUCCGAAUGAUGAACUGCACCUUACAGGACUGCUCGCAUAUAGAUGAACACGGUAUUGCAGCUGCCCUCCUUCCACUGGUCACGGCCUUCUGCAGAAAAAUGGGCGCAGGCAUCACUCAGUUUGCCUACAGCUGCGUACAGGAGCACAUGGUGUGGACCACCAUGCAGUUCUGGGAGGCCAUGUUCUACAGCGACGUUCAGAACCACAUCAGAGCUCUGUACCUGGAGACGGAGGAGGGGGAGCAGCACAACAACUAUGAGCAGCACGACGGGGCAGGCGACGGGAGGGAGAUCAGCGCCCUGGAGCUGGCGUCCGAGCAGAGCCGGCUGUGGCCGACGCUCAGCAAGGAGUCGCAGACGGAGCGCGUGCAGAAGGAGGAGAGCACGGUGUUCAGCCAGGCAAUCCACUACGCCAACAGGAUGAGCUACUUGCUGCUGCCGCUGGACACCAGCAAGAACCGUCUGCUGAGGAGCUCCGGCCUCGGAGACGUGGAGAGCGUCAGCAACAGCUACGUCACUAACAGUAUUGCAGGCAGCAUGGCGGAGAGCUACGACACAGAGAGCGGCUUCGAAGACGCAGAGAGCUCCGACGUGGCGAACUCCGUGGUGCGCUUCAUCAACCGCUUCGUAGACAAAGUGUGUAAUGAGAGCGGCGUCACCAACGAGCACCUGAAGGCUCUCCACACCAUGAUACCAGAUAUCGUUCAGAUGCACAUCGAGACGUUAGACGCAGUCCACAGGGAGAGUAAGAGACUGCCUCCGAUCCAAAAGCCCAAGCUGCUGAGGCCGACGCUGCUGCCCGGUGAGGAGCUGGUGAUGGACGGCAUGCGGGUCCACCUGAUCCCCGACGGCCGCGAGGAGGCCACGGGGCUGAUGGGAGGUCCGCCUCUGCUCCCCGCCGAGGGCGCCAUCUUCCUCACCACCUACCGACUCAUCUUCAAGGGCACGCCCAACGACCCGCUGGUGGGUGAGCAGGUGGUGACUCGCUCGUUCCCCAUCGCCUCUCUGACCAAGGAGAAGAGGAUCUCAGUCACUAUACCCAUGGACCAGUUUGUCCAGGAGGGGCUCCAGCUACGCUCCUGCACCUUCCAGCUGAUGAAGAUUGCGUUCGACGAGGAGGUGGCGUCAGACCUGGCCGAGGUCUUCAGGAAGCACAUGCACAAGCUGCGCUAUCCUCAGCACGUCCAGGGCACCUUCGCCUUCACCGUGGGUCAGUGUGGGAAGAUGGUGGUGGAGCACAAGACCAAGGACAAGAACCAGUCGCUCAAGACGCUUUCCAAAAACCUGGUGAAGACUGCCAAGAGGACCAUCGGCCGGCAGUACGUGACCAGGAAGAAGUAUUCCCCUCCCACCUGGGAGAACCGGAGCAGCUUCCAGUCGGAGCUGGAUGAGGAUGAAAUCUCAGUUUCAGAGGAAGUAGAGCAGAGUUCCCUCACCCUCUCCUCCACCAUGCGCUCAUCCGACAGACAGACCAUGAGCAACGUCGUGGAGCGCGCCUGUUGCCGCGACUACCAGCGCCUGGGCCUGGGCACGCUCAGCAACAGCCUGACGCGCUCUAAAAACGAGCCCUUCAGGAUUUCCACCGUCAACCGCAUGUACACCGUCUGCAGGAGCUACCCCGGCCUGCUGAUUGUACCUCAGAGCAUCCCGGACACGACUAUCCAGAGAAUCUGCCGCUGCUACCGGCAGAAUCGCUUCCCCGUGGUUUGCUGGAGGAAUUCACGAACCAAGGCCGUCCUGCUGCGAUCUGCAGGCCUCCACGCGAAGGGGGUGGUGGGCUUCUUCAAGUCCCCCAACGCCCCGGCUUCAGUGCCCUCCCAGGCCGACUCCACCAGUCUGGAGCAGGAGAAGUACCUGCAGGCCAUCAUCAGCUCCAUGCCUUCUUACAGCGAGAGCAGCGGCAGGAACACACUCAGCGGCUUCACCUCCACGCAUAUGAGCACCUCCGACUCCUCAGACAAGUUGAGGCAGCCCAAGAUCGGCGCUCUGAUGAAGCAGGUGAUGGGCACCAAGGAGGACGUUCCUGGAACCUUCAGCAGAGGAGCUCUGGGUCAAAGGGCGAAAGUCAUCUCCCUCUCUCAGCCCAAAGUGUCUGGCAAGGCCAGGAACACCCCUAGAGGUAAAUGGGGGAGUAUCCGGGGCAGCGGGCGUCUAAGUGCCUACAACCCAGAUGUGGGGACGCGCCUGGCGAAAGAUUCUCCGCAGUCCAAUGGGGGGCCGAGCGAGGCGCUGUUUCUCCGCCAGCAGAAGGCCUACCUCUACAUCAUCGGAGACAAGGCCCAGCUCAAGGGAGGGAAGCAGGAUUCGUUCCAGCAGUGGGAGGUGGUUCCCAUCGAGGUGUGCGACGUGCGGCAGGUGAAGAACAGCUUCAAGAAGCUGAUGAAGGCCUGCGUGCCGAGCACCUCCACCACGGACCCCAACAUGAGCUUCCUGCGCUGCCUGGAGGACUCUGAGUGGAUGGCUCUGCUCCACAGGGUGCUGCAGGUGUCCGUGCUGGUGGUGGAGCUCCUGGAUACGGGCUCAUCAGUCAUGGUCAGCCUGGAGGACGGCUGGGACGUCACCACGCAGGUGGUGUCCCUGGUGCAGCUGCUGUCCGAUCCGUACUACCGAACCUUCGAUGGCUUCCGGCUGCUGGUGGAGAAGGAGUGGCUGUCGUUCGGCCACCGAUUCAGCCACCGCGGAGCGCAGACGCUGGGCAGCCAGAGCAGCGGCUUCACCCCUGUCUUCCUGCAGUUCCUCGACUGCGUCCACCAGAUCCACCUCCAGUUCCCCAUGGAGUUUGAGUUCAGUCAGUACUACCUGAAGUUCUUGGCCUACCACUAUGUGUCCAACCGCUUCCGAACCUUCCUGCUCGACUCCGACUACGAACGCAUCGAGCUGGGAGUGCUGUACGAGGAGAAAGGAGAGAGGAAAAGCCCUCAGGUGUGUAAGUCUGUGUGGGACUACAUCGACAGACUGAACAAGAAAACACCCGUCUUCUACAACUACAUGUUCUCUCCUGAAGACGAGGAGGUUCUGCGGCCGUACACCUUCAACUCCAACCUGAAGGUGUGGGACUUCUACAUGGAGGAGACCCUGUCGGAGGGUCCGUCCUACGACUGGGAGCUGAGAGGCCGGCAGGAGCGCGUGGCGGAGGAGACGCUGGACAAACCCGACAGCGGCCCCAAGUCUCAGCGGCGCAUCGUGUGGCCGUGCUACGACAGCCUGAGCAAGGCGGUACCCGACGCCAUCACCAAGCUGCUGCAGGACCUGCAGAGUCUGGAGGCGGAGCUGGGCCAGACGUCGGAGAAGUGGAAGGACACUUGGGACAAAAUCAAGACCGUGCAGAGAACCGAGGCCAAACUGGAAAGCAAGUCGUUCUCCAGCUCCUUGCUGAUGUCGUCCAACCUGAGCCACCAGCGGCGCUCUCAGGGCGUCUACCUGCAGGAGACCGGCGUGGGAUCCUCCAUCAACCUGGCUAUGGACUGCGAGGCCAGCGCCACCUCCACCCCCGUCGCCGGUCGGCCCAGCACCAGCACGCUCUACAGCCAGUUCCAGAGCACGGAGAGCGAGAACAGGAGUUUUGAAGGCAUCCUGUAUAAGAAAGGGGCGUUGUUGAAACCAUGGAGACCACGGUGGUUUGUGCUGGACAAGACCAAACAUCAGCUGAGAUACUACGAGACCCGGCAGGACAAGGAGUGCAAAGGGAUGAUCGAGCUGGGCGAGGUGGAGUCCAUCAUUCCAGGAACGCCUACCAUGGGAGCGCCGAAGAACAUCGAGGAGAAAGCCUUUUUUGAUCUCAAGACGACCAAACGAGUGUACAACUUCUGUGCCCAGGACAGCCAGAACGCUCAGCUGUGGAUGGACAGCGUCCAGAACUGCCUGUCAGACGCCUAGAGAGGAGGAGGCGGGACUCUUUUAGGGAGCGAUGCAACCCAAGGACGAAUGAGCGGCGGCGGCGGCGCGGCACCUGACGGGACAGACACACCUCCGCCUGGAGGGAGGAGGAGGGAGGAGGGGGGGGGGAGGGGCCUUUCACCACUUAAAGCUCUGUUCUGUUCGCUAGUGUUGAACUAAUAACCUCGCGUCACAACGUUUCAGUGUUUUUGUUAUAAAAAAAAAAUCGGAAAAAGACAAAAAAAAAAAAGAACCACUUUGCUGUCGUCUCACCGAGCAGCUGCAGCUCCCCCACCCCCCCGACAGUCUGACCACUAUGUGCGCUGGAUGUCUGGAUUUUAAAGGCGUCCUGCAGCUCGGACCAGCAUGAAGAUGUUUCCAGACCCUCCACCUGUAAACCCACCUGUACUAACCCUGCUCGACCUUUAACACACCCCGGGGGAGGAAUGACGGAGGAGCUGCAGCCGCGCACGUACAGGACCCGUCAGACUGCUCCGGAAACAGGAUCUAAAAGAUCGACACGCUGACAGCAGAGACGCUCUUCCUUCUCAGUCCUCACAGCUCUCACUGCCUGACGUCGCAGGAAUAUCCAGAAGGAGCUUCACAGGAAGUUGAGCGUGACGCUGCGGCAGCUGCACGGGGAGGAGGAAGGAGCUCCUCAACGGUUCAUGAAGGAUUUCCUUUUCUUUCUUUUUUCCAAAAUCUUCAAAUUUGUACCAGAAAGAGAUCAUCACCGGUCCUCAGCAGGAGACGGAGAUAUUACUGUGAAAGCCAUGAAUCAGUCGCGGAGAUCAAAAACCAGGAGAGCCGGUCGGAGUCCGUCAGGUUCCGUCCUCCAUACAACCAGCUGUAUGGUUAAUGUAUGGUUAUGGUUAAUGAACAGGCAGCCGGCAGGUUGCCCUGGAAGUAGAUCCCUAAGCUAUCUAGCUACAAAAGCUAAUCCAGGAGGCUACUUCCUGUUUACUUUGGUCUGAACUCUUAGACGAGUGUGUGAUUUAAUUCAAGUUGAUUUGGAAAGCUUCAGGAGGCUCACACACUGCUCACCCCAUGAGCUAAGAAAAAUAACCUUCAGCUUUGUGCAUUUUUAUUGCGUACAAUGUAUUUUUAAAUGUUUUAUUUAGCUUAAUAUGUAUGGGAGGAAAAUGGCCACAACUAUGGAAAUAAGACUCAAGUUGAAUAAUAGCAGAAUCUUUCCUUCACGGAUGCUGCAACAUGGAAACGUGUGGAGCUGCUCAGACUCCCUCUUCCUGUUUCAGAUGCGUCAGCGGUCCACUCGUUGAAGCUUGUACAUAGACGAGUCUCCACCCGUUAGAGAGUUCUAGAGGAACAGUACGUUUAGCUGGAAGGUUUCAAACAUCAAGUCACUUUUUUUAUGUCAAUGGUUUAUCAGUCCCCCCCCGACCCCAUGACCUCCACACACACAACCACUCAGACCCACACUUCUUAACCCUGCUAUGUAAAAUAAGGUUCUACUGCUGUCUUUGUUGAACUUAAAAAUUUAAAAAUUGUAGAUUUUUUUUGUGUCUAAUAACUCCUUUUUGUAUAUACUACUCCAGAUUUGUAUGUAACGUUUAUGGUAGUAAUUUAUUUAACUUGUCUCCUCAGUAAGAAAGUUCCUGAAGCACCACUUUAUUUUUAAAUUAGGAAUUCAAUGUGCCAUUUGUUUAUUUCUGUAUUAAUGUGACUAAUGCUUUUUUUUUUUUUUUUUUUGGAAAAAUGUACAAGUAAAUCUUCUUUUUUUUUUUUUGUAUACACGGUUGUCCUUACGUAAUACCAACCAUUAAUGCGAGAGUGGAAACGGUGUGUUAGUGGGAGAGGAUUGGAUUUGACGGUGUUGCUCACCCACAGCGAUGGGAUGUUCUGGAUGGAGGUUACAGUCACAAUAAAUGUCCACACAUGAAGUUCUCCUGGUGCCGGGUUCUGCUGCUCGCUUAAUGGACCUCCUUUAGUGUUCCAUUAAAUAGUCAGCGACGAGAUGUGGCAGCCUAAAUGUGCUGUAUGUCAGCCUCCAUAAUUAACUGAAGAAUAUCGGCAGGUUCAUUUAAAAUGCACGGUGUAGGCAAAAAUAGUUUUAUAUUAAUCACAUAUUUCAAACAUACUAUAUGUAUUUAUUAUGUUUAGUAAGUUUUUGGGAAUAUGGUGGGUUCACAAAUGUUGUUCAGUGCACUCUGGUUGAAAGUUUCAAUCAACCUGUAACACAUUAUCAGUAACUCUGAUAUUUAAAUGGUAAUUUUACACGAAAAAACUUUGAUAUUCACUGAGAAUUAAAUGGUAAAUUUACAUGAAAAAACUUUGAUAUUCUCGGAGAUUUAAGAGGUAAAUUUACAUGAAAAAAAAAAAACUAAUUUACGGGACAAAAACCUCAAAACAAUGUGUUAUUUUCUUCUGAAUAGGCCCAAUUCACAGCAAUGUCUCUUAAAAGACUGGAUGUUUGUGAUUUUGUGAAGUAUAAUUUCAUUAAGUCAUCAACUGCAGGCAUACAACACGACCAAAAAUAUAGAGUUUUUCAAAUUAAUUCGCAUAAAUUUAUGACUUUAAUCUCAGAAAUUCUGAGUUUUUUCUCAGAAUAUCACCCCACUCCGCCCGGCCUGACACACUGUCGUAGGACUGGUUGCCAUCUUGCCACUAAAUAUUUAAUGGUACCCCGUUCCCUGACAGUAGCUGCCUGAUCCAAACUAACGUACACAGCCAACAUCACGACCAAACAUCGUUAAGUUUCAUUUGACCUUGUGGAUCUUAAAAUAAUUCUUCCUCUGAGAGACAGAUGGACCGGAGUGACAGCAGGAGUUGCUGCAGCAGCCAGAACCCGACCUGUGGGAGGACUCGGUGUGUCCUCGUGUUCUGACUGCAGUCUGCAUCCAGUUAGACCCAGCUCAUCUUUACACUCUCUAGUUCACUCAUCUCUCUCUGUGGUAACGCUCUACAGCAGCUAAUAUUAACCACAACAACAUGACAUAAUACUUUUUAUUUAUUUUUCUUCUUUUUUUUUUUUUUUUUUUAUUAGAGAUGACUUUCUGAGCCGGGUUAUGUUGUCAAUCAUGUCAAUAUAGUUUUUAGAAUUCAAAUAAAAACUGUGGGUUUAAAUGUU